rnacentral:rRNA from 1 species
UACGGAGGGAGCUAUCGUUGUUCGGAAUUACUGGGCGUAAAGCGCACGUAGGCGGCUAUUCAAGUCGGGGGUGAAAGCCCGGGGCUCAACCCCGGAACUGCCCUCGAAACUAGAUAGCUAGAAUCUUGGAGAGGCGAGUGGAAUUCCGAGUGUAGAGGUGAAAUUCGUAGAUAUUCGGAAGAACACCAGUGGCGAAGGCGACUCGCUGGACAAGUAUUGACGCUGAGGUGCGAAAGCGUGGGGAGCAAACAGG